AACGCGAAGAACCUUACCAGGAUUUGACAUGGGCAGGACUGGCACAGAGAUGUGUCUUCCCCGCAAGGGGCCUGCCGCACAGGUGCUGCAUGGCUGUCGUCAGCUCGUGUCGUGAGAUGUUGGGUUAAGUCCCGCAACGAGCGCAACCCUUGCCUUUAGUUGCCAGCAUUUAGUUGGGCACUCUAGAGGAACUGCCGGUGACAAGCCGGAGGAAGGUGGGGAUGACGUCAAGUCCUCAUGGCCCUUAUGUCCUGGGCUACACACGUGCUACAAUGGUGGUGACAGUGGGAAGCUAUGUGGUGACACAAUGCUGAUCUCUAAAAGCCAUCUCAGUUCAGAUUGUACUCUGCAACUCGAGUACAUGAAGGUGGAAUCGCUAGUAAUCGUGGAUCAGCAUGCCACGGUGAAUACGUUCCCGGGCCUUGUACACACCGCACGA
rnacentral:rRNA from 1 species